CCCUUAGAUGUUCUGGGCCGCACGCGCGCUACACUGAUUCAUGCAACAAGUUUUGUCCUUGGCUGAUAGGCCUGGGUAAUCUUUGAACGUGAAUCGUGAUGGGGAUAGAUGAUUGCAAUUAUUCAUCUUCAACGAGGAAUUCCUAGUAAACGCAAGUCAUCAGCUUGCAUUGAUUACGUCCCUGCCCUUUGUACACGCCGCCCGUCGCACCUACCGAUUGAAUGGUCCGGUGAAAUCUUCGGAUCUGAGAGAUGUCUGAUUAAUUUCGGACGCCUUUUGGAAAAGUUGUUUAAACCUUACCAUUUAGAGGAAGGUGAAGUCGUAACA
rnacentral:rRNA from 1 species